UUGUGGAGGAGGACGCCGAAGGUGGGGCUGAUGACUGGGGUGAAGUCGUAACAAGGUAGCCGUACCGGAAGGUGCGGCUGGAUCACCUCCUAACAGGGAGACAAUUAAUUGAUUGUGAUGUUUGAGUAAUUAUCUUAGGCCGCAAUCCUGUCACUUAAGGUCGAUCGGUACCUCAGAUUUUUGAAUUAAUUUUAUAAUUAAUCCUUUAAUUUCAGUUCCUAAACUUGUCUAGGUCACACCCAACAAGGGUUUCUCCUGGGCCAUUAGCUCAGGUGGUUAGAGCGCACCCCUGAUAAGGGUGAGGUCCCUGGUUCAAGUCCAGGAUGGCCCAUUCGGUGUUGGGGGUUUAGCUCAGUUGGUAGAGCGCCUGCUUUGCAAGCAGGAUGUCAGCGGUUCGAGUCCGCUAACCUCCACUGAUUUAACCUCCCUUCAAUGAAAGUUUAAGGAGGUUCCUUGUAACUUGUGAUUUAGAUUAGUUUUCUCUGAAGAAGACCCUAGCUUCUUAUCAUUCCUCAAAUUAAAUUAAAUUUAGUAGAGGUUGAUAUGACGCUGGGCUCUCUGGAAUUGUAAAAGAUUUCAGAAAAGUUCAGUAGAACCUUGACAACUGCAUAGGUGAGUCUGGAAAGAACAAAGCAUCUCAUGGAUGCAUUAUUGCUUUUUCUUUUUAUGUAAUUUCUGAUUUAUCGGCAUUACUAACUACGUAAACGGCAAUAAUGUUUAAUUCUUGAGCAAGAGCCGAGACUCAAUUAAUUCAAAUAUCUUGCUUUCGCAAGUGACUUAAUUGAGGAUUAUUGGUCAAGCUACAA
rnacentral:misc_RNA from 1 species